GUGAUUGCUUUGGCAACACAUAUACUCAAACUAGAACGAUACAGAGAAGAUUAGCAUGGCCCUGCCCAAAAUUGUGGUUAGGAAGAAACAACAGAAAAUUCU